rnacentral:rRNA from 1 species
AUGGCUCAGGAUGAACGCUGGCGGCGUGCCUAACACAUGCAAGUCGAGCGAUUCUCUUCGGAGAAGAGCGGCGGACGGGUGAGUAACGCGUGGGUAACCUGCCUCAUACACAUGGAUAACAUACCGAAAGGUAUGCUAAUACAGGAUAACAUAAGAGAUUCACAUGGAUUUCUUAUCAAAGCUCCGGCGGUAUGAGAUGGACCCGCGUCUGAUUAGCUAGUUGGUAAGGUAACGGCUUACCAAGGCGACGAUCAGUAGCCGACCUGAGAGGGUGAUCGGCCACAUUGGAACUGAGACACGGUCCAAACUCCUACGGGAGGCAGCAGUGGGGAAUAUUGCACAAUGGGCGAAAGCCUGAUGCAAGCAACGCCGCGUGAGUGAUGAAGGCCUUCGGGUCGUAAAACUCUGUCCUCAAGGAAGAUAAUGACGGUACUUGAGGAGGAAGCCCCGGCUAACUACGUGCCAGCAGCAGC